rnacentral:other from 1 species
ACUUCCUGAGCCGGAACGAAAAGUUUUUGAGGAUUGGGUAUUAACGUACUGAAUCUUUGGCACUUUUGGCUUGUGGGCGUGAUGUUGUGUUUGCAAUUGACCUGACGAUUUUCGGGUCCGGUGGCGUAAGCGACCUUUUAUUCCUGUAGAUUUACCCUGUCUGUCCAUAGUAAAUUCUUAGUAGCACCGCUUUUUGCGGUGCUUUUUUUU